rnacentral:lncRNA from 1 species
AUGUAUCCAACCAAAUAAGCUAUCUAUACGUAUAAAUAUGCCUACAUAUAUCUAAUACAUGCUGCAUACACAUAAUUAUAUAAACACCUAUAUACAUACAUAAAAUAAAUUGAAAAGAAAUACCAAUUCACUCUUACCAGAAUUUUAAACAGAAACGAAGUCAGGAAAAUCUUUGCAGUUUCGGACUCAUCAUAUUUGGGUUCCCUUCUUUUUUUUAUCGCAUUCACGCCGUGAUACUCGAAGCAUAUCUGAACAAAUCCACUAUUCGCCGCGCACAAAGUCAUCUUUUUCGCCACACAUGCCAGGUCACCGCACCUUUUUCUUCUUUCUUUUCCUUUUUUUUCCUCUUCUUCUUCUUCUUCUUUCUUUUCCUUUUUUUUCCUCUGCUUC